rnacentral:rRNA from 1 species
UACGUAGGGGGCUAGCGUUGUCCGGAAUCAUUGGGCGUAAAGCGCGUGUAGGCGGUCCGGUAAGUCCGCUGUGAAAGUCGGGGGCUCAACCCUCGGAUGCCGGUGGAUACUGUCGGGCUUGAGUGCGGCAGAGGAGACUGGAAUUCCUGGUGUAGCAGUGAAAUGCGUAGAUAUCAGGAGGAACACCGAUGGCGAAGGCAGGUCUCUGGGCUGACACUGACGCUCAUGCACGAAAGCGUGGGGAGCGGAACAGG